rnacentral:rRNA from 1 species
GACGAACGCUGGCGGCGCGCCUAAUGCAUGCAAGUCGAGCGACGCAUGCCCGGUGGGUAACCACUAGGUAUGACGGAGCGGCGAACGGGUGAGUAUCACGUGAGGAACCUGCCCUGAAGACCGGGAUAGCCCGGGGAAACCCGGAUUAAUACCGGAUACCCUCAAAGGAUCGCAUGGUCCGUUGAGGAAAGGCCUUUGUGCUUCGGGAUGGUCUCGCGGCCUAUCAGCUAGUUGGUGAGGUAACGGCUCACCAAGGCAACGACGGGUAGCUGGUCUGAGAGGACGAUCAGCCACACUGGGACUGAGACACGGCCCAGACUCCUACGGGAGGCAGCAGCAGGGAAUCUUGUCCAAUGGGCGAAAGCCUGAGACAGCGACGCCGCGUGAGGGAUGAAGGCCUUCGGGUUGUAAACCUCUUUCAGGAGGGACGAAAUUGACGGUACCUCCAGAAGAAACCCCGGCCAACUACGUG